UUAGUGAUGAUAAAAUAAUAAAAUAAAUAUUUAAUCUGUGUUAUAUGAAUCCAAACCCGUCCCGCUAUAUUUCAUAUCAAUUCAAACUCAUUCCGCUAUAUUUCUCAUCUCAUGAUAUUUU
rnacentral:sRNA from 1 species